rnacentral:rRNA from 1 species
GACGAACGCCGGCGGCGUGCUUAACACAUGCAAGUCGAACGGAAAGGCCCUGCUUUUGUGGGGUGCUCGAGUGGCGAACGGGUGAGUAACACGUGAGUAACCUGCCCUUGACUUUGGGAUAACUUCAGGAAACUGGGGCUAAUACCGGAUAGGAGCUCCUGCUGCAUGGUGGGGGUUGGAAAGUUUCGGCGGUUGGGGGUGGACUCGCGGCUUAUCAGCUUGUUGGUGGGGUAGUGGCUUACCAAGGCUUUGACGGGUAGCCGGCCUGAGAGGGUGACCGGCCACAUUGGGACUGAGAUACGGCCCAGACUCCUACGGGAGGCAGCAGUGGGGAAUAUUGCACAAUGGGCGGAAGCCUGAUGCAGCAACGCCGCGUGCGGGAUGACGGCCUUCGGGUUGUAAACCGCUUUCGCCUGUGACGAAGCGUGAGUGACGGUAAUGGGUAAAGAAGCACCGGCUAACUACGUG